rnacentral:rRNA from 1 species
CUCAGUUCGGAUCGGAGUCUGNAACCCGACNCCGUGAAGCUGGAUUCGCUGUAAUCGCGCAUCAGCCAUGGCGCGGUGAAUACGUUCCCGGGCCUUGUACACACCGCCCGUCAAGCCAUGGGAGCCGGGGGUGCUUGAAGUGCGUCGCCGCAAGGCGCGCCCUAGAGCAAAACCGGUGACUGGGGCUAAGUCGUAACAAGGUACC